rnacentral:lncRNA from 1 species
UGCGUUUGAUUACAAGUAGGAAAAUUACAUGGAAAGAAAAUGAAUUCCAAGGAAUUGAAUUACCUAGAAAUUGUUUUCAUGGAAAUUGUAAAUUAUUGUGUUUGAUUGUAUAAAUUUUUCACGUGAAAAAUGUUGAAGUAAAAGUAUUUUUUGAUGUUCGUUUGACUUUGUUUUACGUGGAAAUUGUCAAUUUCAGGGAUAUCCUCUUUUACAAUUAUUCCUAAAAUUUGUUCCCAUUGCCAACAAUUAAAAAAAAAUAAAAAAAGAAAAAAAAAAAGAAAAAAAAAAGGUGGAAAACCAAAAACCACCUAUCCCCUAGGAAAAAAAAAGGUGGAAAAUCACGCUUUAAGGUGUUG